rnacentral:rRNA from 1 species
UGGGGAUGACGUCAAAUCAUCAUGCCCCUUAUGUCCAGGGCUUCACACAUGCUACAAUGGUCGGUACAACGCGCAGCGACACUGUGAGGUGGAGCUAAUCGCUCUAAAGCCGGUCUUAGUUCGGAUUGGGGUCUGCAACUCGACCCCAUGAAGUCGGAGUCGCUAGUAAUCGUAGAUCAGCAACGCUGCGGUGAAUACGUUCCCGGGCCUUGUACACACCGCCCGUCACGUCAUGAAAGUUGGUAACACCCGAAGCCAGUGGCCCAAACUCGUUAGGGAGCUGUCGAAGGUGGGAUCGGCGAUUGGGACGAAGUCGUAACAAGGUAGCCGUACCGGAAGGUGCGGCUGGAUCACCUCCUUU